GUCACUAGUCACCCCCUCACUCUAGUGACAGUGAGGGAGGGAAGUGGUGACUACUGACAGAGUUAGGGAGGGAAGGGGUGACUAGGGACAGAGUGAGGGAGGUGGUGACUAGUGACAGUCACCACCUCCCUCACUCUGUCACUGUGUCACCCCCUCCCUCACUCUGUCACUGGUCACCCACUCCCCCCUCACUCUGUCACCAGUCAUCCCCUCACUCUGUCACUAGUCACCCCUUCCUUCCCUCACUCUGCCACUAAUCAUCCCUUCCCUCACUCUGUCCCUAGUCACCCCCUCACUCUGUCACUAGUAACCCUCUCACUCUAGU